rnacentral:rRNA from 1 species
UACGGAGGGUGCGAGCGUUGUCCGGAAUCACUGGGCGUAAAGGGCGCGUAGGCGGCUCGGUAAGCGUGUGGUGAAAGCCUGGGGCUCAACCCCGGGUCGGCCAUGCGAACUGUCGAGCUGGAGCACUGUAGAGGCAGGCGGAAUUCCGGGUGUAGCGGUGGAAUGCGUAGAUAUCAGGAGGAACACCGGUGGCGAAGGCGGAUUUCUGGACCAGUUCUGACACUGAUGAGCGAAAGCCAGGGGAGCAAACAGG